rnacentral:rRNA from 1 species
UACGGAGGUGGGCAAGCGUUAUCCGGAUUCACUGGGUUUAAAGGGUGCGUAGGUGGGUUGGUAAGUCAGUGGUGAAAUCUCCGAGCUUAACUUGGAAACUGCCAUUGAUACUAUCAGUCUUGAAUAUUGUGGAGGUCAGCGGAAUAUGUCAUGUAGCGGUGAAAUGCUUAGAUAUGACAUAGAACACCAAUUGCGAAGGCAGCUGGCUACGCAUAUAUUGACACUGAGGCACGAAAGCGUGGGGAUCAAACAGG